CAAGUGACACGGGAUGGGGACAUCAUAACCAUGUAUUGCCUCUCACCCUCUUCCUAGUCUCCAAACCCACUCAGCAUUACUAGAGCCUGGAGCACCAGAAUCAGGGGAGUCACAGUUCAAUGUCUCAGGCCAUACCACAGCCUGAGCGAGCUAGAUAGGAAGAGUGUAAAAGGCCUCCAUUUCAAGGAGCGGGUAGGUAACACUGAAAUGAAUGCCAGCUCAUUCAUAAGCAGGACCAAGGAUUAGAAGUAACUGCAGCUACUCAAUAAUUGAGGUCUACUGUUUUCUAUGCUCUGUACUGAGCACUUUACAUUAUCUCACUUAAUCCUCACAAGCCCCUUUUAAAGGAGAAACUGCUAUCAUUGCCAUUUUAUAGAUGAAAUAACAGAAAGAGAUUAAGAAAGCCACCCAAGACACAGGGCAGUUAAACAGAGUACCGUGCAACCCCCAGCCAUUUCACUCCUAGGUAUCUACCCAGGAGAAAUGAAAACCUGUGUCCACACAAAACCUCAAACACAAAUGUUCACAGCAGCAUUACUUGUAAUAGCUGAAUAGUAGAAGCAACCAGUGUCCCUCAGCAGAUGAAUGGAUAAACAAUCUCUAUGAUGGAUUAUUAGUUGGCCAUAAAAAGGAGUGAAAUCCUGACACAUGGAUGGACCUUGAAAGCAUUAUGCUAAGUGAAAGACAGUGACAAAUGCACACAUAUCUUACAAUUCUUUUUGUCAUGAAAUGUCCAGAAUAGGCAACUGUGUAGAGACAGAAGGUAGAUUAGUAGUUAGUUGGGGCUGGAGAGAUAGAAAAGUGGAAAUUGUGUGGCGUUUCUUUUUUGAGGUGAUGAAAAUUGUCCUAAUGUUAAACAUAGUUGUAAAUAUACUAAAAGCCACUGACAUGUAUACUUUAAAUGGGUCAAUUAUAUGGCAUGUGCAUUAUAUCUCAUAAAGCUGUUAUGGAGGGGCGGGGAGCAUCCCACUUCCAGGAUAUGACAUGCAGGUAGGAUUUGGAUGCAGGCAGUUUGCUUUCCCUCAGCUGCCUUGUGGGCUGUACACCAUCUUGCCUUCCAGGUCUCCCAAGGCCCAGUGAGGCGUCUGGAAACUGCAUGGAUUCACGAUGGUCUGCAGCAAUCCACAUAAUUAAAAUUAACAGAGAGAACCUACUGUGUACCUUGCAGAGAAUGGAAUCUGUCUUGAGAAAUAGCUGCACAGCAAAGAUAAAUGCUUAUAUGGGAUUGUUCUUUGCCGAAUUGUUCAUUCUGGAAAGUUGCUGACGACUAAAUGCCCCUCACCAGAGGUUUACAGCAACGCUGGGAUGUCCCUACAGCUGGCAGUUACGACAGAUAAGGGAAGAAACAGAAGUUCUUGGCCAUGGUCUCACAGUGAAGCAGGAAGAAGCCUGGAUUCACUCCCAAGUCCUGGAGAUACUCUCUAUUGCCUGUCCCCCCCAAUACACAGCCCCUGGCUGGAUGGAGAGAGAUGCCCACAGGAAAAGCUGCCUAGGACUCUACUGCUGGGCCUGGCAAGCAAGCCCUCCUAACAGAACAUUGACACUCCCUUCCUUCAACCUGAAGCUGCUCCUUAGACUUUUGGCUUGCUUGUAACCAAUCAAAUUCAGCGGAAGAGUUACCAGGUAACUUCCAAGGCUAGGUCUUACAAGGGGAUGCAGCCUCAGAGUAGCUGAAGCACUCUUCCCUGGAGCUCGGAGCCACCCUGUAAGGAGGCUGACUACCCUGGGGCUGUAGGGCAGCUGGAGAGGUCACCUGGAAAGGACAUACACAGGGGCUCUGCCGUGGCCUCAUCUAGGCGCGUGAACUACUUUCAGGUCAUUUCAUCCCUCUGAAGUCCUAUCACUGCCAGUCCUUGAUUCUUUCCAGCUGAGACCGCAGACUUAUAGAGAAGAGACAAGUGUACUUGCCAUGCUAUUUCUGAUGCUGGCAUAGAGAAUCAACAACCAGAAUAAAAUGGUUGUUCUAUGCCAUUAGGUUUGGGGUAACUUGUUAUGUAGCAAAGGUAACCAGAACACUUAAUGCUUGGCAAUGCACAAAGAAAUCCUUGUAUGUGCCUCUACACGUAAGCCAGUUCUUUCUUUCUUUCUUUCUUUUUUUUUUUUUUUGAGACAGAGUC